AUUGAACGCUGGCGGCGGGCUUAACACAUGCAAGUCGAGCGGAGAUGAGGUGCUUGCACCUUAUCUUAGCGGCGGACGGGUGAGUAAUGCUUAGGAAUCUGCCUAUUAGUGGGGGACAACAUUCCGAAAGGAAUGCUAAUACCGCAUACGUCCUACGGGAGAAAGCAGGGGAUCUUCGGACCUUGCGCUAAUAGAUGAGCCUAAGUCGGAUUAGCUAGUUGGUGGGGUAAAGGCCUACCAAGGCGACGAUCUGUAGCGGGUCUGAGAGGAUGGUCCGCCACACUGGGACUGAGACACGGCCCAGACUCCUACGGGAGGUAGCAGUGGGGAAUAUUGGACAAUGGGGGGAACCCUGAUCCAGCCAUGCCGCGUGUGUGAAGAAGGCCUUAUGGUUGUAAAGCACUUUAAGCGAGGAGGAGGCUACUGAGACUAAUACUCUUGGAUAGUGGACGUUACUCGCAGAAUAAGCACCGGCUAACUCUGUGCCAGCCGCCGCAGUAAGAC
rnacentral:rRNA from 1 species